UACGUUACUACACUCUAAAUAAAGAAAAUUAAGUUACAUGACAUUGACUUCGAGUCUUGAGAACGAAUAUUCUAAAGUCUCGAACCGCAUGCCUUGAUAAUGACUUGUUUUUUGGGGGUUUAAACAUUUUACCUGUUUUUAGUUUAUAAUUUUCCAGCUGGGCUGGUUGUGAUAAAAGGUAAAGUUUUUGUCAUCCGCCAAUAAAACCAUAGCAUUUAAACAAAUAGUAAUUUCCUCCUUUUUACCUCUGUUAUCUCAGGCAGUGUAACAGGACGAAAAGGCAGGGAGAUAUUCAGUAUUUUUCUGCAAAGAAAAAGCCAUGCCAGCCAGUGAGGGAGAGUCCGCGUGAUGGUUUAACGUUACACACAGUGAGUUCAGAGCCUGCCUGCUCAACAGGAGACCUCUUGGUUCAGGAAGAUUUGAGCAUAAAUCAGAACAGCCCUGUACACCCAGCUGUCUCUAGGGAUGAAACAGAUGAGAGUGAAAGUGAUGUGAAAGAGAUGGAUACUUGUCACCCACCUUCAGAAGUGUAAUCUGAGCUUCCACUUACUUCUGAUACUGCUCUUACUGGACCUGAUGACAGAAGAAGAAUGGAGAAGUGAUCAUCUCUGCUUGGUUGAAUGAAGUUGGAGAAAACCUUUUUCAAGUUAACCCUG